rnacentral:tRNA from 1 species
GCUAUUUUGGCAGAUUAGUGCGUUAAAUUUAGGAUUUAUUAAUGUAGAUGGUUCUACAAAUAGUA